rnacentral:rRNA from 1 species
UACGUAGGGUGCGGAGCGUUAAUUCGGAAUUACCGUGGGCGUUGAAAGCGUGACGCAGGCGGUUUUGGUUAAGCCGGAUGUGAAAUCCCCGGGACCGUCAACCUGGGAAACCUGCAUUUGUGACGUGCACAGCUGGAGUGCGGCAGGAGGGGGAUGGAAUUCCGCGUGUAGCAGUGAAAUGCGUAGAUAUGCGGAGGAACACCGAU